AUGUCACGGAGAAAGACUCUUGUAGGAACACCAUUCUGGAUGGCACCAGAAGUGGUUCAGAAUUCAGAUGGAUACAAUGAAAAGGCAGAUAUAUGGUCUUUGGGAAUAACUGUGAUUGGAAUGGCCAAAGGAGAACCUCCAUUGGCGGACCUUCACCCUAUGAAAGUUCUUUUUAUAAUACCCCGAG